rnacentral:rRNA from 1 species
AGAGCGAACGCUGGCGGCAGGCUUAACACAUGCAAGUCGAGCGCCCCGCAAGGGGAGCGGCAGACGGGAGAGUAACACGUGGGAACGUACCUUUCGGUUCGGAACAACCCAGGGAAACUUGGGCUAAUACCGGAUACGUCCGUAAGGAGAAAGAUUUAUCGCCGAAAGAUCGGCCCGCGUCUGAUUAGCUAGUUGGUGAGGUAACGGCUCACCAAGGCGACGAUCAGUAGCUGGUCUGAGAGGAUGAUCAGCCUCACUGGGACUGAGACACGGCCCAGACUCCUACGGGAGGCAGCAGUGGGGAAUAUUGGACAAUGGGCGCAAGCCUGAUCCAGCCAUGCCGCGUGGUGAUGAAGGCCCUAGGUUGUAAAGCCUUUCGGCGGGAAGAUAAGUGACGGUACCCGCGAGAAGAACGCCCCGGCUAACUUCGUGCCAGCAGCCGC